rnacentral:rRNA from 1 species
UACGUAGGGUGCGAGCGUUAAUCGGAAUUACUGGGCGUAAAGCGUGCGCAGGCGGUUCUCCAAGUCCGUUGUGAAAGCCCCGGGCUCAACCUGGGAAUGGCAGUGGAAACUGGCGAACUGGAGUGUGGCAGAGGGGGGUGGAAUUCCGCGUGUAGCAGUGAAAUGCGUAGAGAUGCGGAGGAACACCGAUGGCGAAGGCAGCCCCCUGGGCUAGCACUGACGCUCAGGCACGAAAGCGUGGGGAGCAAACAGG